rnacentral:rRNA from 1 species
UACGUAGGGGGCUAGCGUUGUCCGGAAUCAUUGGGCGUAAAGCGCGUGUAGGCGGUCCGGUAAGUCCGCUGUGAAAGUCGGGGGCUCAACCCUCGAAUGCCGGUGGAUACUGUCGGGCUAGAGUGCGGAAGAGGCGAGUGGAAUUCCUGGUGUAGCGGUGAAAUGCGCAGAUAUCAGGAGGAACACCAAUUGCGAAGGCAGCUCGCUGGGACGUUACUGACGAUGAGACGCGAAAGCGUGGGGAGCAAACAGG